AUACUGACCUGGCGUAGAGGAUACCGUGAUCAUGUAGGCGGUUCCCCCAGGGCGAGGCUGCUCCAUUGCACUGCGGAGUGGUUAGACCUUGCGACUAUUUUUAUUUUUAUCAAUAAAAAAAUCGUAACGAAAAUGUAUACCCGAAUAAUUAUUUUCUUUAUA
rnacentral:snRNA from 1 species